rnacentral:rRNA from 1 species
AGUGAACGCUGGCGGCAGGCUUAACACAUGCAAGUCGAACGGCAGCGCGGGCUUCCUCGUUCCCGCGGUGGCCGGAGGCGGGCGUAAUACAACUACACCGGCCCCUGCCUAGUGGAGAGGGCGAACAAAGGCAAAUUUAUACCACUACCGCACAGGACCUUCGGGCGGGGGAGGGGGAUCCCUAGCCCUCUUGCGGCUGCCUGUGUCGAUGUCGGAUUAGCUAGUUGGCGGGGUAAUGGCCUACCAAGGCGACGAUCCGUAGCUGGUCUGAGAGGAUGAUCAGCCGCACUGGAACUGAGACACGGCCCAGACUCCUACGGGAGGCAGCAGUGGGGAAUAUUGGACAAUGGGCGCAAGCCUGAUCCAGCCAUGCCGCGUGCGGGAAGAAGGCCUUCGGGUUGUAAAGCGCUUUUGUUGGGGAAGAAAUCCUUCGGGCUAAUACCCUGGGGGGAUGACGGUACCGGAAGAAUAAGCACCGGCUAACUACGUG